rnacentral:lncRNA from 1 species
CACAAAGACUCUACAGCCAAACUAAUAGCAUUAGUAAGAGAUUUGAUUGAGAUUUUUGGACAUAGAUCACAUACAAAUACCAGCUGUGUUUCUAUAUACCAGCAACAGUGAAAAAAACCCUUUUUUUUUUUUUUUUUUUACGAAAUAUCAUAUAUAACAGCAAUAAAACAGACAAUGUACGUAGGAGGAAAUCCAAGAAAAGACACAUAGGCAUCCAUGGAAAAAAACUGUGAAACGUAAUUGAAAUAUGUAUUAGUAUAAACUCACUAUUCCUACAAAUUCCAAACGCUCGAUGGUAUAACACACUGGAAGUUUUUUCCCCCGCUCUUCCAACAGCUCACUGGGGGUGUUCAGUGGGAAGACUUCCACACAGAGACUGGGGGACCCAGCGUCUUCCAUUUUGUGGCCUCAUCAUUUUUGGGGUCUCGGACUCCUCUUUGUGAGCCUCUGCAUCCUUCUACAGUUGGAGGAAGAGCCAGGGCGAGCUAGAGCCCGUGGGAGGACCAGGCCUGGAAGUGUCACCUAAUCCAGCUCUGCCCUCGUCUUGCUGUUCAGAACUCACGCUGGCCGCACUGCACUGGGAGCAGGAAUCAGGCAAAGAGUCUCAGAAGAGUCUGCUGAUCUCUCAAAAGUGACAAUGGGGAGAAGGAUGUCAGACACUCCUCGAUCAACCCUAGUCCUUGGAUAACGGGGGUAAUAGAAGCUCCUGUUUUCAGCUGGUACAUGUCUGGACACACGUCUGGGCACGUGUCUGCCUGGAAUAAAGACCAUAUUUCCCAGCCUCCUUUGCAGCUAAGUAAGAUCAUCGGGGAGUUUCCGCUUUCGUGUUCUCCACUCAAGCAAUUAGCCCGGCGCCGCGGGAAUAAUCCAAGAUGAGAGUCCCAUCUCAAGAAUCCAUGUGGAAUCCAACACUGGGAGACAAUGCUGCGAGCGAAGGAAGGAAGACAAAAAGCUAAAGGAGCAGCCCUGCCCGUCGUUCCAAUUCUCCAGAAGUUCCUGAGAACGUAUGAGAAGCACUGUGCACAGACUCGGACGUCCGUGUGCCUGGCCGUCAAGAGGGACCUGAAAGCUGGCAUUGACAAUGGACAGAUUCUCAGGAAGUUUAUACUUGUAAGACCUGAUGACUCCCCGCCAAGCAUCCCACCGAUUUCCUUGGAACCUUUGCUUAUGACAAUUCGAGAAGAGUGUUACACGCUGGGGAAAGAGAUCUGCAUCUGGGGCCUUCAACUGAGCAACCCAGAGAUUGCCAGACUCUUGAACUUCCAUUAUUGCGAGUGAGAAGUCAUAUAUAAGGACUUUACUUCUGGAAAGGGCAAAUAGAUCAUUCAGACCAACCCUUUCACUGAGGACAACAAGAUAAGCUGAAAUACACAGUAUGAGAGAUAAAGAAGCUUGACUCUACCUCACAUCAUACCCCAGAAUCAAUUCCAAGUGGAUUGUAAAUUCCAAAGGCAAUACACUAAAGUUUCUGGAAGAUAAUAUAGGAAAAUAUCAUCAUGACUUUGGGUGGAGAAAAACUUCUCAAACAGGAC